AGGGGGCAGCUACACAUGCAAGUCGAGCGGAAACGAGUUAUCUGAACCUUCGGGGAACGAUAACGGCGUCGAGCGGCGGACGGGUGAGUAAUGCCUAGGAAAUUGCCCUGAUGUGGGGGAUAACCAUUGGAAACGAUGGCUAAUACCGCAUGAUGCCUACGGGCCAAAGAGGGGGACCUUCGGGCCUCUCGCGUCAGGAUAUGCCUAGGUGGGAUUAGCUAGUUGGUGAGGUAAGGGCUCACCAAGGCGACGAUCCCUAGCUGGUCUGAGAGGAUGAUCAGCCACACUGGAACUGAGACACGGUCCAGACUCCUACGGGAGGCAGCAGUGGGGAAUAUUGCACAAUGGGCGCAAGCCUGAUGCAGCCAUGCCGCGUGUGUGAAGAAGGCCUUCGGGUUGUAAAGCACUUUCAGUCGUGAGGAAGGUGGUGUAGUUAAUAGCUGCAUUAUUUGACGUUAGCGACAGAAGAAGCACCGGCUAACUCCGUGCCAGCAGCCGCGGUAAUACGGAGGGUGCGAGCGUUAAUCGGAAUUACUGGGCGUAAAGCGCAUGCAGGUGGUUUGUUAAGUCAGAUGUGAAAGCCCGGGGCUCAACCUCGGAAUAGCAUUUGAAACUGGCAGACUAGAGUACUGUAGAGGGGGGUAGAAUUUCAGGUGUAGCGGUGAAAUGCGUAGAGAUCUGAAGGAAUACCGGUGGCGAAGGCGGCCCCCUGGACAGAUACUGACACUCAGAUGCGAAAGCGUGGGGAGCAAACAGGAUUAGAUACCCUGGUAGUCCACGCCGUAAACGAUGUCUACUUGGAGGUUGUGGCCUUGAGCCGUGGCUUUCGGAGCUAACGCGUUAAGUAGACCGCCUGGGGAGUACGGUCGCAAGAUUAAAACUCAAAUGAAUUGACGGGGGCCCGCACAAGCGGUGGAGCAUGUGGUUUAAUUCGAUGCAACGCGAAGAACCUUACCUACUCUUGACAUCCAGAGAACUUUCCAGAGAUGGAUUGGUGCCUUCGGGAACUCUGAGACAGGUGCUGCAUGGCUGUCGUCAGCUCGUGUUGUGAAAUGUUGGGUUAAGUCCCGCAACGAGCGCAACCCUUAUCCUUGUUUGCCAGCGAGUAAUGUCGGGAACUCCAGGGAGACUGCCGGUGAUAAACCGGAGGAAGGUGGGGACGACGUCAAGUCAUCAUGGCCCUUACGAGUAGGGCUACACACGUGCUACAAUGGCGCAUACAGAGGGCGGCCAACUUGCGAAAGUGAGCGAAUCCCAAAAAGUGCGUCGUAGUCCGGAUUGGAGUCUGCAACUCGACUCCAUGAAGUCGGAAUCGCUAGUAAUCGUGGAUCAGAAUGCCACGGUGAAUACGUUCCCGGGCCUUGUACACACCGCCCGUCACACCAUGGGAGUGGGCUGCAAAAGAAGUAGGUAGUUUAACCUUCGGGGGGACGCUUACCACUU
rnacentral:rRNA from 1 species